rnacentral:rRNA from 1 species
AGAGUUUGAUCCUGGCUCAGAUUGAACGCUGGCGGCAUGCCUUACACAUGCAAGUCGAACGGUAACGGGCCUUCGGGUGCCGACGAGUGGCGAACGGGUAAGUAAAGUAUCGGAACGUACCAUUGAGUGGGGGAUAACGUAGCGAAAGUUACGCUAAUACCGCAUAUUCUCUCCGGAGGAAAGCAGGGGAUCGCAAGACCUUGUGCUCUUUGAUCGGCCGAUAUCAGAUUAGCUAGUUGGUGGGGUAAAAGCUCACCAAGGCGACGAUCUGUAGCGGGUCUGAGAGGAUGAUCCGCCACACUGGAACUGAGACACGGUCCAGACUCCUACGGGAGGCAGCAGUGGGGAAUUUUGGACAAUGGGGGCAACCCUGAUCCAGCCAUGCCGCGUGAGUGAAGAAGGCCUUCGGGUUGUAAAGCUCUUUCAGCCGGGAAGAAAACGCACUCUCUAAUACAGGGUGUGGAUGACGGUACCGGAAUAAGAAGCACCGGCUAACUACGUGCCAGCAGCCGCGGUAAUACGUAGGGUGCGAGCGUUAAUCGGAAUUACUGGGCGUAAAGCGUGCGCAGGCGGUUUGUUAAGACAGGCGUGAAAUCCCCGGGCUCAACCUGGGAACUGCGCUUGUGACUGGCAGGCUAGAGUAUGGCAGAGGGGGGUGGAAUUCCACGUGUAGCAGUGAAAUGCGUAGAGAUGUGGAGGAACACCGAUGGCGAAGGCAGCCCCCUGGGCCAAUACUGACGCUCAUGCACGAAAGCGUGGGGAGCAAACAGGAUUAGAUACCCUGGUAGUCCACGCCCUAAACGAUGUCAACUAGGUGUUGGGUGGGUAAAACCAUUUAGUACCGGAGCUAACGCGUGAAGUUGACCGCCUGGGGAGUACGGCCGCAAGGUUAAAACUCAAAGGAAUUGACGG